rnacentral:rRNA from 1 species
GUUGUAUAGUCAAGUAAUUAAGUGCAUGUGGUGGAUGCCUUGGCAGUCAGAGGCGAUGAAAGACGUGAUAGCCUGCGAAAAGCUCCGGGGAGGCGGCAAAUAUCCUUUGAUCCGGAGAUGUCUGAAUGGGGGAACCCACCUACUUUAAGGUAGGUAUUGCAACAUGAAUACAUAGUGUUGCAAGGCGAACGAGGGGAAGUGAAACAUCUCAGUACCCUUAGGAAAAGAAAUCAAUUGAGAUUCCCUCAGUAGCGGCGAGCGAACGGGGAUCAGCCCAUUAAGUUAUGUGUGUUUUAGUGGAACGCUCUGGGAAGUGCGAACGUAGAGGG